UCCUACUGCCUAGGCCUCCGAUUCAGUAGCAGCUUUUGUCUGUUCCUGACUUGUAAUUAUGCUUCUCAUCUUCGCCAGCCUCUCCUUCUGCCUUAACCACCCAAGCAAAAUGACUUGGGGUGGUGCUGGGAAAAAAGAAGGAGGAGCCCCCUCUUCCACCUUAGUCCCAGACUCCCACCCUCUUAUUAUCUUCCCAAUAGGCCAGUCAGCGCAUGGAGUGCCAAGUGAUCGUUAAAGAUUGCCUGCAAGUCCCUGAACACCAAUUUUUUCCUCCACACAGUCCCUGAAAUUUUGUGAAUAGAGAAUAUCAAUUUGAAUAUUUGGAUAUCAAUAGAGGAUGUCAAUUUAAGGUUAAUCACUUUCAAGGUCCUUAAAAAAUACCAAAUGCCUCUCAGAGUAUUAACAAAAUGCCCGUAGGAAUAUUAACACAUUAACACCUUACUGUGAAUUUGUUUAUGAGAUCACUUUCCUCUGUAAGUGGAGGGAUCUGGGGCACUCUGAAAACACAGAACACCUGGAGAAGGAAGAGGAGGAGGCUUUGAAAGGGGUAAGAAUGGUGGUGAAUUGAUUCUUCUAAUGAACUAAAGGCAGGGGCUUAUUUCUAUAAGUGUUCUGUGUCCCUAUUACUGGAAACUUUCAAGGGAUUUCAGAAAAUCAGGAAUUAAGGGAAAAGAAUAAUCAUUUAUUAAGUACCCAUAUGGUGUGCUUUAUAAAUAUCUUGUUUGAGUCUCACAACUACCCUAGGAGGUGGGUGCUAUUAUUAUCAACAUUUUACACAUAAACAAAUUGAGGAUCACCAGAUUAAUUAACUUGCCCAGGGUCAUCCAGCUAGGAAGGAUCAGAGGUUACAUUGAGCUCUACAUGCCCUGUGCUGUCUAGAGCUGGGGGCUAUUCAGAGACAUCAGAGAUGAUCAGAGGAACUCACAUCAGAGUUGCAGACCUGGACCAGAGAAGGCCCUGUGGUGAGAUGAAGAAAUCAGUGUAGAGAGAAGAAGAUUAAUGGAAGACCUUCUGAAGUCCUGGAUUCUUGGCCCCCCAAUCCACCUUUUUCCCAGAUAUAUUAGCAUUGCCUUCAGAUCACCUACAAGCCUACUUGGAUGUAAGGGAGCCCUUUUCUAUACUGAGCUGAGCUGUGGUGACCCAUAGAGACAACUCUAGUAUUAUAUCCAGAAGGUGAAGAUUGGAGCCCCAUCCAUCAGCUCAAAUGGUUUUGCUAGGAGUGAUGAGUCUCCCUACCUCCCUGAAGGAUCCCACAAUUAAACAGGCAGGGAAAUGUAUUUCAUGAAAUAUGCAUAGAGUUUUUUUUUUCCCUACAAAGCCAUUUAAACUUCCUUGAGCCAACGAUGGAAUGAAUGAUGAGAUGAGCCAUCUCUUACAACACACCAUUGGGCUCUGGACAUUGAUGACCACUGUGGGGCCUCAGGUUGAAUAUCUGCCAAGGCUUGGGGGAAUGGGAAAAUUUCCCUAAAGGAUAAUGGAAUUAUUUCCCUUAGCCAUGAGAUUUUUUUUUGGCUUCCUUAGGGAGGGGAAAAAGGCCUACUGAUUUGUAAUGUGAAUAUAGCUUCUCUCCUCUACCUUGCCAAGGAGUAAGCAAUCGCAUACCAGACCUAGACCUUCCCCUUUGUGACCACCUGAGAGUUUCUGCCCCCCCAUGGCUUCCCUCAGUGUCAGAGGUAGCACUUGGUAAUUGUGCUGUUGGUUUCCGACAGCCCAUUCCUGACUCCCAUGGCUAAUGGCUCCUUGUCAGCAUCAGGGUUGGAGUAAAUUCUUCAUUAUUGGAGGGAUCUGACAUGUAAGAACAACUGGAGUAAAUUGAUUGUAUUUUCCAAAUCAUCACCCAGCCUCUAAUUCUAUCUCUGAGACGAGUAAUUUGAACCAGAAUUAGCUCCUAAAUUAAGAAUCCAGGCACUUGAUGGAGAAGAGAAAAGCAGUCCUAGUGCAUCUCAGUGUCCAGGAAGAUAUUUGGAGAAAAGCUGGGCUCUGAGAGGAGACUUUGAGAAAGGAGAUGGAGAAAUGAAUCGUUGGCAAAUGUUGACAGUCAAGUUUGAUGGGGGGGUAUUUGCUCAUCCCUAUUGCCAAAAUCACGUUUGGUACAGGGGACAAUGUCAUUACAUGAGCAGACAGGUGAAUAUACUGGGGGAAGAGCAGCCUUGUCUACCUUGUGUAUAAAAAGUUCAUGAAAUAGAUUUUUAGCCCAAGAUUAACAAGGGUAGAUUUGACUCAGAGUGAGAACAUUUCAUGGAAUCCUAGAAUGCACGGAAGGAAUCUCAGACAUUAUCUAGUUUAACCUCUUUAUUUAACAGAGUAGGAAACAGAUUUAUAGUUUAAAGUAGCUUAUCCUAGGUCAACGAACUCAGUGGCAGAGUUUAGACUGGAACCAGGUCUCUUGUUUGCCAUCUGAAUGCUCUUUCCGGGGUACCGUGCUGCUUUUAAACACUGAUAUAGACAUACAUACAUACACACACACACACACACACAC